GCGUUUAAAAACGCUCGUAGUUGGAUCACGCAGCAGUGUUCAGUAAUCUAUUCACAAGGAAGGUGAUGGUUGUGCUCGUCUCUGACGACGUAACUGAUCCUUACUUUGGUAGAUGUUUAAGCUGACCGCUGUUAAUUGCACGUGAGAUGGAUCGUUGACCUUUAAUGUGUCGGUAAUCCCGUCUUGCGGAGUGUGCCUUGAAUAAAACAGAGUGCUUAAAGCAGGCUUAUGCCUGAAUGUUAUAGCAUGGAACGAACAAUCGUGUCUACGUGCACAUUUCUCAUAUGAUGAUUGGCCUAUGGUUAGUUAUUGUUGGGAGUGUGUACAUCACCCACCAAAGUAUGGCUGUUGGUUCCAUAUACGGUGAUGAUUAACAGGAGCGGUUGGGGGCAUCAGUAUUUGGCCGCGAGAGGUGAAAUUCUUGGACCGGCCAAGGACUAACAAAUGCAAAGGCACUUGUCCAGACCGUUUCCAUUAAUCAAGAACGAAAGUGGGAGGUUCGAAGACGAUCAGAUACCGUCCUAGUUCCCACUGUAAACUAUGCCGACCUGGGAUCAGUCUAGAGAUGUUACAAGCUCCAGAUUGGUCCCCCUGGGAAACCUCAAGUUUUUCGGUUACGGGGAGAGUAUGGUCGCAAGGCUGAAACUUAAAGGAAUUGACGGAAGGGCACCACCAGGGGUGGAGCCUGCGGCUUAAUUUGACUCAACACGGGGAAACUUACCUGGUCCGGACAUCGAUAGGAUACACAGACUGAUAGAUCUUUGUUGAUGCGAUGAGUGG
rnacentral:rRNA from 1 species